CCAAACCCAGAACCUUCUUCUUCCCCGCCUAACCCUUAUUUCAUCCCGCCAAUUCGCCACCCUAAAUUUUCGCCACUCCAAAAUUCAAAGCAUCUACAAAAUUAUCCAAAACAACUACAAAUUAAGCUUACUCAAAUUAUCUAUUAUUUCACCUCAAAAAAAUUAUACAUUCUAAAUGAAUUACUUCUUAGCCAAAUUGCUUGAAUCGUUUGUUGCGAUAUAAUUUUGGGAGUUAGUGUUUGUCUAAAAUUAAGGAAAUUCUUGUGGGUAUGGAUUUUGACAUUAGCUAGCUGUGAUGAUUUAUUCUGGGUACUACUCUAAUAGCAAGUAACAAGAGAGACACAUAAUUAGUAGCUAGCUGAUAGAAAAUCAAAGUAACCAAAGGAGAAAACUUUUUGAGUUAUAGCAGGCUACCUGGAUGUUUUCUUGUUGGUAAUACUCUUAUCUUAUCUAAAAGUUUUUUUUUUGUUUUUAGUAUUCAUAUGGUUCAAGUAAAAGUUGUGAUUGUUUUCUAUAUUUUAAAUUAAGGCAUGUUAGUAUAAUUAGGAUUGUUUGUCAUUCAAAUGGAUACUUAUGCUAUGUUUGUAUGAUUGUACAUCGUAUUAGUUUUUAUUUUAUUUUUUGCUGGAAAUUAUAUGUAUGCUAACAUUCAACAUUUUAGAAUUUUUUUUUUAUCUUAUUUUUAUUAAUGUGAAUUUAGGGAAUGGCUAUUGAUAAGGAAUUGAUGAAAAUAAAUGAUCGUUCACUUGUCGAGUACAUAGAGGGUGUUGAUAAUUUCUUCAACUUUGCCUUUUCUUAUAACAUGGAGGAUGAGAAUACCGCCACUAUUAGGUGUCCUUGUGACAAUUGUCGUAAUUUAGUGUUUUAAAAAAGGUGUGAUGUGAGGUUUGAUUUACUAAAGUCAGGAAUGUAUGAGUAUUACACAAUAUGGGACCUUCAUGGUGAAAAGGUAAGUCAUUCUCCUAGUGGUUACAUUAGUGGUAUGGAAGAUGGAGAUGGAAAUGGAAUGGAAAGUGAUGAUAGUGGAGUUCAUAUGUUAGAAGAUGCAUUUGGGGUACCUGGUAUGUAGGGGGAUCAUAUGAAUGACUAUGAUUUUAAUGAAGAACCAACUGGAGAUGCAGCAAUGUUUUACCAUCUUUUGAAAGAAUUUGAAGAGCCACCGACAUCUAAUGGCACAACAAUGUUAAAGUUGUCUUAUAUAGUAAAGCUGCUGCAUUUGAAGGUUUUAAAUAACUAGAGUGAUAGCUCUUUUGAUAGUUUGCUGAAAUUGCAAGGGGAAGCAUUGGGAGCUGCCUUCCUGAUUCAUAUUAUGAGGCAAAGGAAUUGAUUUCCAAUUUGGGUCUUGAGUGUGUGAAGAUUGAUGCUUGUAAAAAUGAUUGUAUUCUUUAUUGGAAACAAAAUGCACAUUUAGAUAAGUGUCCUACUUGUUGCUUACCCAGAUACAAGAAUGUUCCUGAAGGUGCUUGUAAUGGAACGAAAGUGCCACACAAGGUGCUACCACACUUUCCAUUGAAAUCCAGAUUACAAAGGUUAUAUAUGUCAAGAAAGACCGCUAAAGAUAUGCGAUGGCAUAAAGAAGAAAGGGUGGAUGAUGAGGUAAUGAGGCAUCCAGCUGAUUCUGCUGCAUGGAAAUCAUUUGAUGAGGAGUAUACUUCAUUCUCCAGAGAUGCACGCAAUGUUAGACUUGGAUUAACUUGUGAUGGUUUCCUGCCUUUUGAUAAUUCUCAACAUAGCAUUUGGCUCGUUGUUCUUAUUCCUUACAACUUACCUCCUUGGAUAUGUAAGAAGCCUCAUUCUUUCAUCUUAUCUCUACUCAUGCCAGGACCCACGAGUCCUGGAAGAAAUAUUGAUGGUUAUCUUCAACCUUUAAUUGAAGAGCUGAAGGACCUUUGGGAGUUUGGAGUUGAAACUUAUGACGCUUAUUCUAAGCAACAUUUAAAUAUGCAUGCCAUUGUUUUAUGGACUAUUAGUGACUUUCCUGCGUAUGCUGAUUUGUCGGGUUGGUCUACUAAAGGUCACUAUGCUUGCUCAUCCUGCCUUAAGGAAACCAAGCGCACUUCCUUGAUGAGUAAAGGUUGUUAUAUGUGUCAUUGUCGUUGGCUGCAUAUUAAUCAUAAAUGGAGAAAGGAUGCUAAAUCAUUAUUUGAUAACAAAAAAGAAAAAGGGCAUGCACCUGUUCCGUUAACUGGUGAUGAAAUUUUAAGUUGUUUUAAUCGAUUUGAGCAAGCAACAUUUGGUAAGGUUGCUGGACAAAAAAGAAAAUGGGAUGCUUUAAAUAUCUUGUAUGGUUGGCACAAAAAAAGCAUUUUUUUCCAACUACCGUACUCGAGAAAAUUGCAAAUUCGACACAACUUAGAUGUCAUGCAUAUCGAAAAAAAAUGUGUCUGAUAAUAUUUUAGGCACUUUGAUGAAUAUCAGAGGUAAGACAAAAGACACGGUAAAGGCUUGAAUUGAUUUGAUGAAAAUGGGUAUUCGAGAUGAGCUCCACCCUAGUUUGGAUGGAGAUAAAGUACGAGUUCCUGUAGCAUCCUACACACUAAAUACAACUGCCAAAGCUGCAAUCUGUGAGAUGUUUGCUGGAAUUAUGUCACCUGAUGGUUUCUUAUCAAAUAUCUCACGUUGUGUCAGGGACAAUGGAAAGAAAAUAUCUGGCAUGAAGAGUCAUGACCAUGUUUUUAUUGAGCAACUUCUUCCUCUUGCAACUCGUGGAUUCCUGCCAAAGGAAGUUUAUGAGCCUUUAGUUGAGCUUAGCUCUUUUUUUUUUGAAACCUUUGCUCAAAAAACAUAACAAUAAAGGAAUUGGACACCCUCGAAGCACAAAUUCCUUACACAUUGUUUAAGCUCCAGAUGAUUUUCCCUCCUGCUUUUUACGAUGUGAUGGUGCAUUUGGUGGUUCACUUAGCUGCUGAAGCAAAGAUCGAAGGGCCUGUCCGGUAUCGAUGGAUAUACCCAGUUGAGAGAUAUCUUGGAAAUUUAAAGAAGUACAUUCAAAACAGAGCACAACCAGAGGGUUGCAUUGCAGAAGGCUAUCUUCAGAUGAGUGUCUAACAUUUUGCUCAAGAUAUAUGAGUGAUAUUGACACUAAAUUCAAUAGGAAAGGUAGGAAUGAUGAUGACACUUUAAAUGAUGUUACUUUGAGAAACAAGUUAGAUAUUUUUAGACCCCUUGGUCAUGCACUCGGAGAAGGGGCACCACGACAUCUUAGCUUUGAAGAAUGUGAUCAAAUCCAUUUGUACAAUCUUCUAAACUGCGAUGAGCUUAUUGAUUUUGUUAACGAACACAAAUUAAUGUUGGAGAGAGAAAAUCCAAGAAAUGUGGAACGACGACACAAGAUGCUAUUUGCAACUUGGAUUCAUGAUCGUGUGCGUAAACUCUAUGAAGAAGGGAAUAUUGAUGAAGACAUGUAUAAUUUAGUUUGUUUUCCUUCUAGAGUUGUGAGGCGCUAUGCAGCUUAUAUAGUUAAUGGUUUUUGGUUUCAUACACAUGAUAGGUGUGAGAAUAGGAAAACUCAGAAUAGUGGAGUCAUGGUACGGGGAGAUGAUAUUUCAGACAAAGAAUAUUAUGGUGUGUUAAAAGACAUCUUUGAGGUUUCGUAUCCAGGUGGGAAUCGUACGUUUGUUUUUUAAUGUGCAUGGUUUGAUGUACAACACCUUGGUAAAGGAUACAAAGUGGAUGAUAAUGGACUGAUAAGUGUAAAUUAAAGGGGUUCUUUGAAAACAAAUGAAGUGUACGUUUUAGAAUCACAAGUUGAACAAGUAUUCUACGUACAAGAUCCGAAAAAUGAGGAUUGGCAGUUUGUUAUUAAAACCCAGCCUAGAGAUCUUUAUGAUAUGCCAAACAAUGAUAAGAAUGACCAAGGUGGUGUAGAUGUGGACGCAUAUCAGUAGGUUGAUGUAAAUCAAGUUGAAUGCCAAAGCUUCAGGACUGAGAAUGAUAGCUUUCUAAUAAAUUCAUUAGCAACAAAUACUUUUGUAGUUGAGAUAGAACCUAGUGUUGUAAAGUUAGUUAGAAAAGUGAUUGAGGAAAUUGGUGAAGAUGAUGACUUUAUCAAUGAUGGUGACAUUGAAGUUUUAGAAGAUACAAGUGAAAGGAAGAGUUUAGUUCGGAGUCAUCACAAGAGUAAAAUUGAAUAUGUUAUUUCUCUCUCUCUCUCUCUCUCUCUCUCUCUCUCUCUCUCUCUCUCUCUUUUCAGUGUAUGGAAUUUUCUUUUUUGUCGUAUAUAUGUUAAUAUUAUACUUACGUAAUGUGUUUACCGCUAUAAGUUUAUAGAUUUCAAUAUUACUUGAUGGAUGGAGUUUUGUAUAGAAUAUCUUCUAAACUAAUGUUAUUACGUGUUUAUGCAAAAACAAGAAAUUAUAAAGAAUGGUUGGGAGAGGUGGAGGAAUGAAUGUGUGCAAUCGAAAACAGGAUGGAAAAGGAAGUAAUCUUUACUCAAAUGUGGUUGGAGAACAUGUGGGAUCCUCAAAUCUGGUACAAAAUGGUGGCAAUUAUAAUGUACCAAGAAGGUCUAUAAGCUCUUCAAAUCAGGUUCAAAGUAUGGGGAAUUGUGAUUUACCUAACCAUAAUGUCUUGGGAUCCUUAAAUCAUUUAGAGCAUUGUCAAAUACAUGAUGAUAACAUGAUUUCCAAUGAAAAUCAAUUUCAAAAUGAGUCAGAGAGGUGUAUUUCACCACAUGUUGGAGGUAUAAUUCAAAAAUUGUUGUUGUGCUAUUAUCUUUUCAUGUCUUAUCAACAACUUUAUUUUCAAAUAUAGCUGGUACGUCAAGCAAAAGGAAAAGAACGACCAAUUUAGCAGGAAGGAUGAACAUGAAUUUGGAAGCAACGAAUGCUUUGGAUCCACCUAUUAGAAGGGACGAAGAAAAUAGAGGAGUCGGUGAAAAUGCUAAUCGCCGGCAAGUAGGAAAUAAUGGUUUGAUACACUCGGUUAUUAAUAGAGAAACUACACGAGAUGGUAAAAGUAAGAAAAAUAUAUUAUUGUUGUGAGAAAGUUUUCAUUUGUUUAGAUUUCUUACUAGCUACAAAUAAUGUUUGUGUCGCAAAGAUUUUAAGUAAAAAUCAAUUGGUAUAAACGAAAAGUAAACUUAAAAAUGCAGUAAUCUGACAUCUGACAAAAUAUUUUGAAUGGAAAAUGUGAUCUGGAUUGCAAAACAUGUUAAUAGCGACGAGCAAGGUGAAGCAAAGAGGCUGAAAGGGAAAGUACAAAAGUUAUGUAGUGGAUAUGAAAAUCAAAGGGAAAAAAUCCAGAUGAUAUUGACUAGGCUAUUGGUGAAAAUGGUCGUCUUUUUGUGAAUGAGUGUGGUUGUGUUGUGAGGACAAGGGCUCCAUUGAAUGUAAAGAGUUGGAAAGAAGCUUUUGGACUAGCUGGUGAUAUGAUGUGGAAGAAAAUUGAGGUAAUUUUGUUCUUUAUUAAACCGUAUUAUGUAUGAACAAAGACCUUGUCUUAUUAUUUCAUUUCUUAUAAUUAGUUUAUAUUUUUUUAGGAAAAGUUUCAAGUUAAAGAAGGUAGUUCCUAUAUUAAGAUGCAAGCUUUUGCCAUUGAAACUAUGCAACGUCUUUAUAGGUUAUGGAAAUCUCGAUUGCACUACUAUUAUAAGAAUGGAGGUUGUGGACAAAAUGAUGAGGAGCGCUUAAAAAUCAUCCACUAGAUUUACCUCAAAAUUAGAGGAAACAUUGUGUGGAACGAUUUAGCUCUCAACUUUUUAAGUAAAAACUAUACUGUGUCAUAUAAAAAAAAUUUAUAUUAUUUUUUCGCUUCAUCUUAAUUGUAAUGAACAUGUAGGAAAUGAGUGAAAGAAAUUCAAGAAAUAUCUAACCUUACCACUAAUAAUAUAAGAAUUUAUUUACUAAAUCCCAAAUCUUAGUUAAACUGAAGUAUUUUUAUUUUAGACUUGUGAAAACAAUGGUGUAAAACUAUCAGCUGAUGUGAUUUGGCUUUUUGAGCACACAAAAAAAAAGGAAGGCCAACUUCAGUGGGCUGAUGAUUCUCGCUCCAAGGAAAUUUAUCAAUUGAUGCACAUUUUAGGAUCAAUUAAAAGUUGCAGUUGCUACUCAUGAAGACUCGAUGACACAAGAGGUGAUUCUUUUGGAUGUUUUGAAACCCAGAUGUGGUUACUUUUGUGGGAAAGGUACAGCCUUACGUGGUUAUAGUAAGGGAACUAGAAAAAAACUUGAGCUGCAAAAGAAGAUUCAAGAGCAAGAUGAAAGGAUAAAAAAGUUAGAAGAGACUCAAGAACAAACAAAAAAACAGCUACAAGGGACAGUUGAAGCAACAUCAAGGCAACUAGAACAACAAAAGCUUGAUAUGCAACCUGCAAUGGAUGCAAUGAAGGAAGAAUUAUAGCGAGAAUUUUUAAACAAAGGUUAUUGAUGUAGAUGAGUAUAUAGUAGGAGAAUGCUUUUGGAGAAAGUGAUGGUAAAUGGUAGAAUGUGUUAGCUUGGAUAUAUUCAUAUGAUAAUGUAAUAUUUUGUGAUGAAGGUGGAUGCACCUUUUUGGGAUGAUGAUUGAUAUAACUAUUUAGGAUAAUGCUUAGUUUUAUUUUGGAUAUGAAAAAUCUGAAGAAUGGAUGCAAUAUUUUAAGAAAAUCUUAACGAUGAAUGUAAUAUUUUGGAUAUGACUAUUGGAAAUAUAUAUGCUAACAUUU